UGGCCUUUUUCUCCUCCUCAAGGGCAGAAUCAAUAACGGAGCUUUAGCCUUUACUUGACUGACUAGCACACCAAGGUCCCAUGGCAACCGGCCUGCCUUUGGCUAGGGAACCUGGAGGAGGGACUGUUUUGACUAGAGAGCUAGAAAAACCUGUCUUGAAUUGGAAACUAAGGGCAGGCAAAGGGAGUAAACUUGGGGAAAGAGAAGAGCUCUUCUGUCAAAGGACCUAUGCUUGAGCUCCUCAUUCCCUGAGAGUCCACCAGCGGGGUGCUGCUGGAUUGACAUGGAAUUGUGACAGAGAGCCUAUGGCCCAAGAAGAGAAGAUGGAACAUAUCUACAUCAGAAUCUUCUCUUAUCACCUGUCACUACUUUGAAAGGAUAUAGUUUCAGUUAGCUGGAGAGCUAUCCUACAAGCAAGGAAACUUGGGCAAUGGCUGCAUUCACAUGGAUGGAAGAAAAUGGACUUGAACCUGCUCCACUGAUGUCCAAGGCGAAAGCUCCACUGAUUUCAGACCCUACCUCCCAACAUCUUAUCUUCUUUACGUGCCAUUGACCUCAGGAUCAAAAGUGAAUCACAAAAGCUAAUCUCAGCCGUCUCUCAGGAACUGGGAAUCUCAUCUGGAGGCUGCAAUGUAACAGGAAAUGCAUAUCACACAAGACCACAUUGAAUAUCUUUUUAAAAGCUCAGCUGGACUAUCAAAACACAAAUUCAGUCAAGACAUUCCAAGAAGUUCAGUUUCAGUCAAGUUUCCAAGAAGUGGGGAAGUUGUACUUGCUGGUCUAACUUAUUUUAGCUGUUUCCCAGUUCACCAUUUGGCUCUACUGAAUGGAAGUAGACCACAUCUGACUGACUGUAACUUUCCCUUAGUCGUACAAACCUUGUAGAUUGCAUCAGCAUUUCUAAAAUCUAAACAAAUAAGCAGAAACAGAGAAAAGGACAACCAGAUAUAUUUACAGUAUGAAAACAGAAUGAUCUGACCCGUUUAGAGCUCUCUCCUCUUCAGAGCCCACCAUGCAGAGUAUUUUCACAUGCUAAUAUGCAGUGAGGUGAAGAAAGCCAAGCAAUUGAAAGGAACGUGCGGUGAGACUGUCUCCUGUGUCUUGCUACCCAGCAGUUUGCAGUGUCUUCAAGAAAAACAUCUAUGGUGCAUACCUGGUGAAAACAAUGUGCUAACCUCAUGGACCUAGUCACAGCUUCUUUUAAGAUCUGAUUCAAAGACUCCUACUGGAUUCAAUGAACUUCAGAUCAUGCGCCUGAUGGUUCUGUGCUGAUGGGAUGCCUGCUACUCGCCAAGCUUCAAAGUAAUUUUUUAAAUGGUAAUUUCAGAAAUUGAGCUC